rnacentral:lncRNA from 1 species
UUUGGUUUUGAGCCUGGCUUUGAUGUGGGGCACUGGAAACCAUGAGAGUGCCAAGAAAACGUUGACUGCCUUGGAUGACAGCAAAUCUCACACAUCCUGACCAGGGAGGUGCCUCCCUCCCAGCAGCUGCAGGCUUUAGGAAAGAGAUUGUCCAGCAUUUCCAUUUGAGCCCUACUUAAAGCUGCAGAUCUAUCAGUGUGGUGUACAAACAUGACAGCUAAGCAAAGCCACAGGCCACCAACUGCUGAUGGUCCAAGACCUCCAUAUGAGGACAAACAUUCCCAGCAUAGGCCCUGCAGAGUACAUCAGGUGGAAAUGCUGUUAUGAAGAUGAAGUAAACCUGCUUUCAUUCAGGUUGGCACUUCUUUCCUCAACAGUUCUCUUUCCUCUUUGGGAGGAAACAGGACCUCUCUGAGGUGCCCAACCUCAUCUACCAACAAAUGUCCAACCACUGUCUUUAUGCUGAACGUAAAUCAACCUGUGCCUUACCUUUAAAUCCAUCUUCUCCAGUCCAAAUAAAAAUUUAAUUCUGUUUCUGUGUUGUUUCUUU